rnacentral:ncRNA from 1 species
AGUAUGUUUUAGCAAAGCUAGAGAAAUCUAGCGACGCAAAGCUAUAGGGACUAAGGUUGUGAAAACUAUGUCAGCCAGUUGCCGAA